ACGCCGCGUGAGGGAUGAAGGCCUCUGGGCUGUAAACCUCUUUUCUCAAGGAAGAAGAUCUGACGGUACUUGAGGAAUAAGCCACGGCUAAUUCCGUGCCAGCAGCCGCGGUAAUUCGGUAGUGGCAAGCGUUAUCCGGAAUUUUUGGGCGUAAAGCGUCCGCAGGCGGCCUUGUAAGUCUGUCGUUAAAGCGUGGAGCUUAACUCCAUUUCAGCGGUGGAAACUACAAGGCUUGAGUGUGGUAGGGGCAGAGGGAAUUCCCGGUGUAGCGGUGAAAUGCGUAGAUAUCGGGAAGAACACCAGUGGCGAAGGCGCUCUGCUGGGCCAUAACUGACGCUCAUGGACGAAAGCCAGGGGAGCGAAAGGGAUUAGAUACCCCUGUAGUC
rnacentral:rRNA from 1 species